rnacentral:ncRNA from 1 species
CGGCAAAGAACCUUUUCAGGUGCUGAAAAGCCUAAAAGGGAAGAGGGUGAGAAUCCCUCACGGACCCGCCGCUGUGAUCGGGUUGUGUCAUCGCAAAGUGGUCCUGUUCGUAAAUAUGGUGAAGCACCGAGAGGGUCGUAGGGCGGUCUCAUCAAGGCGCGCGACUGCGGCGUACCCCAUGUGGUACGCCGCAAAGAGCGGAACGCCGACGAGACGGCGCUACGGCACUCGAAUGCCGCCGUAUUUACGAAUAGGGCCACUCAAAACCACUGUCUGCCUCAGGCGGACGGGAAGGUGCGAUGAACUUCCUCCAACCGGACGUUGGAGGCGCCCGUAAGUCAGAAGACCUGCCUGAUAUGGAAAAAUGUU